rnacentral:rRNA from 1 species
AUACGGAGGGUCCAAGCGUUAUCCGGAUUCAUUGGGAUUAAAGGGUCCGCAGGCGGGAAAAUAAGUCAGUGGUGAAAGCCUACAGCUCAACUGUAGAACUGCCAUUGAUACUGUUUUUCUUGAGUAUAGAUGAAGUGGGCGGAAUAUAUCAUGUAGCGGUGAAAUGCAUAGAUAUGAUAUAGAACACCGAUUGCGAAGGCAGCUCACUAAACUAUUACUGACGCUCAGGGACGAAAGCGUGGGGAGCGAACAGGAUUAGAAACUCCGGUAGUCC